rnacentral:rRNA from 1 species
GGAAGGUGCAAGCGUUAAUCGGAAUUACUGGGCGUAAAGCGCGCGUAGGCGGUUAGAUAAGUCGGGUGUGAAAGCCCCGGGCUCAACCUGGGAACUGCAUUCGAUACUGUUUGACUAGAGUGUGAUAGAGGGAGGCGGAAUUCCGCAUGUAGCGGUGAAAUGCGUAGAGAUGCGGAGGAACACCAAUGGCGAAGGCAGCCUCCUGGAUUAACACUGACGCUGAGGUGCGAAAGCGUGGGGGAGCAAACAGGAUUAGAUACCCUGGUAGUCCACGCUGUAAACGAUGUCAACUAGCCGUUGGGAGCAAUUUGGCUCUUGGUGGCGCAGCUAACGCGAUAAGUUGACCCGCCUGGGGAGUACGGUCGCAAGAUUA